AGUGAACGCUGGCGGCGUGCUUAACACAUGCAAGUCGAACGAGAACGGGUUAUAGCUUGCUAUAAUUGUCAGCUAAGUGGCGCACGGGUGAGUAAUGUAUAGGUAAUAUGCCUCUUACUAAGGGAUAACAAAUGGAAACGUUUGCUAAUACCUUAUACUCCUUAUUAACAUAAGUUAAUAAGGGAAAGAUUUAUUGGUAAGAGAUUAGCCUGGAUUGUCUCAGUUAGUUGGUGGGGUAAUGGCUUACCAAGACUAUGACACAUAACUGGUUUGAGAGGAGGAUCAGUCACACUGGAACUGAGACACGGUCCAGACUCCUACGGGAGGCAGCAGUGGGGAAUAUUGCACAAUGGACGAAAGUCUGAUGCAGCAACGCCGCGUGGAGGAUGACACAUUUCGGUGCGUAAACUCCUUUUAUAUGAGAAGACAAUGACGGUAUUAUAUGAAUAAGCACCGGCUAACUCCGUGCCAGCCGCCGCCGUAA
rnacentral:rRNA from 1 species